GGUGAACAGAGAGGACGUUCUCCUGACCAUACUUGGUCGGAACGUGGAGCAGAAAGAGGUCCCAGGGAAAGACAGGAUUACAGGGCGCCUCACGAUAAUAGAGUCAGACGCGAAGAGUGCCCCCACUGCAGAACCUUGGUUCGCACAACAGUAGGAACAUACACUCUGUUGGAGGGUCCAUCCCCGGGAUCUGGCUCUCUCUUCUGGGCUUGGCGCACCAAUGUCUCAACUCACAAUCUCACAAAGCUCACAAUCCCCCACAUCAUAAUUCCUUUCAGCAGCUGAGAGGCGAGCGGAGAAGAAGGCACAAGGAUGUAGCUUCCCAUCUGCCGGCUGCUGGGAAAGCACUGCCCCUACUGCCGCCUCAGAUGCAUCUACCUCGACCACAAAGGAGAGAGAGGGAUCAGAGGAUGGUUGGGGCCAAUCCCGAACAACUUGAGUCUUCUUGGGAUCUGUGAGAAGACCGCCC
ensembl:lncRNA